CCUUGCCGGUGACCUUGCCAGCCAGCCAGACGAUGCGGAUGCCCAAUGGUUCCAACCAGCUACGCAGAUUGGCGAGGUGCUGCUCGGCCAGCAAUUCGGUGGGCGCGGCAAGUGCGACCUGUUUGCCCUGCUCCACCGCCAACAUUGCCGCCAGUGCGGCGACCACGGUCUUGCCGCUGCCGACAUCGCCCUGUACCAGCCGCAGCAUCGGCGAGGGUUGCGCAAGGUCAUGCGCAAUCUGCUCGAACACGCGUU
rnacentral:ncRNA from 2 species